GGCUCAAGGAAAACGCUCCGUCGUACUGUCCACCAAUCGCCCACAUCCAGGGCUCAAGUGGCCAUCCCUGAUUUGCGGAAUCAGCACCGGGCCAAGCCGUGGUUUAGACACCCGGUUCACAAUGAUCAAUGGAGCUAUGGAAACAGCAGACAUCGCGCCGGAGCCUGCUGGCCUCCCAUCUGGAGCCUCACAGACACUGAAGGCUAUGAAAGCUGUAGUACUGUGGAGACGAAAAGGACAUAUGGCAAUCACCUCAUUUGUCUCCUUCCUCCGAAGACCACAACUAUAGCACCAUAUAGGAUCCGACACAAAAGGAGCCAAUAAGAAAUGGAAAUGGAGUCAAAGAAGAGGAAGUCGUUUCCCGAGAUGCAUCUGUGAGAGUGUCUGGCAGGUGGAAGGGAGGGAACGAGCAUCAUUGAACUUCUACUACUCUCUGUCUCUGCUACAGCACCUCAUAUGCACUGCCUCGCUCAAGCCUCGUACCAGGAGGUUGUUCAUAUCAUGGACGACUGCGGCUGCUCUCUGUGUGGUGAGCUAUGGUGCUCUACAGACCGGUCACCUCCGACACGACUGAAGACCCGAAGGGACACGUGCUCUGGUGGCUCCCACCUGCUUCAGAGAAGGACCGAGCCUUGAUUCUCAGAGGAGCAAAAGCAUACGCAGGCAGUCCGGAACAAUCAUUGCCACUUUUCCACUUCCAUGUUGGUGACAUCAGGUAACAGAUACAUGGGACGUAAUUAAAAAUAAACGAGAAAAAGGUUUCCAUGGUUCACGAAAGCAGUAGGAGUAUUGUGAGGAAAGCUUAGAAGCAUUUAUCUGCUGCUACCCAAAAUUUAGCAUUUGACUUUAAUUAUGCCUCCUUAGGAAUUAAGCAAAGCAGAAAAUGUUUCAACACGACCAGCUGCUGCAGAUCCAAACUGUUUCACGGGUGAACUUUUUAUUUAAUCUUUUCUGUUGCUUUUUGAUCGUGCAAUAAACCCCACGCGUAACAGAUUAAAGGUCAUAACAAUUAUAAUGACAUUAGCCAGCUAACCCAUUUUUCCCAAACCCUCUUAAAACACCUAGGACCAAAGCAUGCUACUAUAGUCAUAAACCAGAGUCGUCUGGGGAAGAGGCAGGCCCCACCCUCUCCUCUUUCAGAGUCCCUGUGG